rnacentral:rRNA from 1 species
GAAACCAACAGGGAUUGCCUCAGUAGCGGCGAGUGAAGCGGCAAGAGCUCAGAUUUGAAAUCGUGCUUUGCGGCACGAGUUGUAGAUUGCAGGUUGGAGUCUGUGUGGAAGGCGGUGUCCAAGUCCCUUGGAACAGGGCGCCCAGGAGGGUGAGAGCCCCGUGGGAUGCCGGCGGAAGCAGUGAGGCCCUUCUGACGAGUCGAGUUGUUUGGGAAUGCAGCUCCAAGCGGGUGGUAAAUUCCAUCUAAGGCUAAAUACUGGCGAGAGACCGAUAGCGAACAAGUACUGUGAAGGAAAGAUGAAAAGCACUUUGAAAAGAGAGUGAAACAGCACGUGAAAUUGUUGAAAGGGAAGGGUAUUGCGCCCGACAUGGGGAUUGCGCACCGCUGCCUCUCGUGGGCGGCGCUCUGGGCUUUCCCUGGGCCAGCAUCGGUUCUUGCUGCAGGAGAAGGGGUUCUGGAACGUGGCUCUUCGGAGUGUUAUAGCCAG